AACUCAGCCGAGCCCGGGUCUCUGCGCGGGCUGGGGGACUCUCAGGGCUCGCUGCCCCCGCCGCAGGUCGGACCUGCUUUCCAGCCCCCUAAAAACCCCGGGGCACAAGGGGAGGGUCCCCGGCCGUGCCCCGGCGAGGGGGCGCGCUGUCCCCCGACAUUUGGGACGGCGGCACCGGCUCGGCCCCCGGGGGAAACGCUCCCACCGCCCCACCGCGGGCGGCUGCAGGAGGGCAGCCCGGCUGGGCAGUUACUUUUAGUUUGCCCUUUAGCCUGGCUUGCGCCUCCCAGACUCUCUUUUUCCUUGCGAUCAGGCCCCAGCCACCCUGCCCCAGAGCAUCCCCCCCCUUUCGGGCUCUGCACCCACUCUGCGCCCGGCCAGGGGCUCGCCCAAAUUUGCAAGAGGGUUAGUUGCUCCUCGUCGUCCUGGGACGGCGCCGGCGGGCGAGCGGGCGGGGCAGAGCCGUGCCCGGCUCCCUGCCAGGCCGGGAGGUGCCGGGGGCGCCGGGGGUAUUUGGGGAAUAGCAAAUUGCCCCCGGCCAGCGGCUCGGGGGCGGGCGGAGGGGGGCGCCCGGCGGCCCCAGCGCCCCUCCCGGGCCCGGCGGGGCGGCGGGGAGAGCGGGGCUCCGUCCCUCCGGCAGUUUGUUUGCAAACGAAAAAGCGAGGGGGCAGCGGCGGAAAGGGCAUUGCGUUACCUGCCCGCUGGGGAGGGGGUUUCUCCUCCCCCCUGGCCCGCUUUUGGCCGUGUUUCUGGGGCAGCGGGUCUCCUGCGGCCCCGGGAGCCCUCGCAGGGGCUCGGGCUGCCCGGCGCCGGCGCACUUUCCGCGCCUCCCCUCCUCCCCGCGCCGCGGCCAGCCCCGCGCAGCCCCGCUGCCCUCCGGCCCCGAGGAAACGCCGCUUUCUCCGCUUUUUCCCUGCCCGUGACAGGCUCCGGGCGCUCCGGGGAGGUGCGCUCCGGCCGGCCGCCUCUGGCCCCCGCCGUGGGCGGCCGCUUGGGUCAUCUUUAUUUUUGGUGCCGCGAAGUUUUUCCCUCGCAGGGAGCUGGGUGCAAGGGGAGGACGGAGCGGGUGGUAGCUGCGAAACGACCUUCGAAGAUCAGCUUGUCUGCGGGGCUUCUCCCCAGCUCCCCAAUGCCCCCCGGCCCCCCGACGUCCCCUUCCCGGCGCAGCCGCGACCCGGCGGGCGCCCAGCUCGGGGCGGUUGUUUUCCAACGCGAGCAAGGACGAGCAGUGCCCGCCCGCCCGCGGCGAGCACCGAGGACACCUGUGGCCACCUACGGCUAUAUUUAUCCUGCAGCUUUGCAAGCGAGGGCUGGGAAAGGGACCUCAGACCCCGCCGCACCACUGCCUCCUCCAGGCUCCACGGCGGGUCCCACCGGGCUCUCUCCUCCUGCCAGCACUCGCAGCCCCAAACUUGGGGGUCUUCAAGACAAAAACGAUAG
rnacentral:lncRNA from 1 species